UUAGUAUCAGUAUCAAGAUGUCGGUUGCUCGUAACAGAAUGUACUCGCUGGUAAUUUACUUCGUCGUAGGGGCACUUGCCCACCGAGUGGAAUCGAUGAGGAUCAACAUGACGACGUUUUCCAACUGCCAAGAUGUGAAUCUGCCCUACGAUUCCGUCCCGAUCUCGGUGGAAACUGUUAAAUACGAUCGGGAUGCCGACGGUGUUUGCAACACUCUCCAUGCGGAAUACGAAGUGCGCGAAUCUUCAGACCACGUGAAUUGGGAACUGAUCAUUACUACCUAUAAAUGCCCGUUACAAAACUCGGUAACAUGUGUCGAGAAUCCCAUGGAACAUAUCGAGCCCAUGCACUGUGAUCGAUUUCACAGCGAUGAUAGUGGCCCGUGGUUUAUGCUGGCAAGCGCCAUGAUAGAUGGCGACCGUUGUGGGCGAGUUACGGGACGGUUCAACCUGGAUACGGCGGUUAUGAAGAUUAAAUAUCUGGAGCAAUACGUGGCGAUGGGAGAGGGUACCUAUCGAGUGCGAAUGAUGUUCCACAUUCCUGGAACAAGUAUGGAAACUUUGAAUGUACGUGGAUGCUGCGAAAUGGACUUCGAUGUGAUCCAAUAAUUUGGUUAGCAAAGUUUAAUCUCUAUCAAGCACUGUACGAAAGCUGAAAUGACUACAACAUUCCACGGUUUAUUCUUACCCACAGUUUGGGAAUCGCUGAUUUUUUACGAUUGUGAACCGGUUUAGGUUCAAUGAAUUUACACAGCUUUUCAGACACACUGGACCUAGAUGAAUCGCGAGAACCAAUAAAUAAAUUUCAUUUAUUUCUGGAUGUUAAAACAGUAAUAGAAGCGCAUACAGGAAAAUAGAAACUAUAAAAUAAGAUCUUGUUCAACAAGAGGACCAUCAGCAUUUGCUUUGUCUGUUGUUCUCUAGCGAUAUUUCCAAUUCACAAGUGAUGUUUGGUUUUGUUUUUUCUUCAGGGAAAAUUCGAUAAUGACUAACUGCUCUCAUUUUGGGUAGAUUCUUCAUUUCACCACUCCCGGGUAACUAAAAUGGUGACGGGUUACGGGCAGUGGCUUCACUGCGCCAUUUGUGUGUUCAUCCUCCAUUUCGUCGCGCGCCAAAGGUGUGUUCUGUGCGAACCGUUUGGUGUCUAUUGUACAGGGCGUUUCUCUCUCUCUCCAGUACUCCCUAAUGCCUAACACUAUGAACAGGUUGAGUGUGCAAAAUUGACCCUUCAGAUGCUAACGACACACCUUUUUGAAGAGGCCCAUUUCAAUGCGGAAGCUAUUUACUAACUUUGUUACAACGGUGGCUACGCUGGACUCUCGACAAGUAGUGCAGCGGACUGGGCAGUUUAUGUUCACCGACAAUAUGUUGGAAGAACAAACCAUUCGGCCUAGGAUCGUUCGGGAGAGCGCUGAAGGGUGAAAUGGACUCGUUUGGCGCUACACUGACUGACUGUACAUGACACGGGUGAACUAGCUGAAUUUAUCUAUCCAUCAUACGCUAUUGCGUUUCCUGUCCCUUUGUUACGAUGUUGUUUUUGUCCUAGUUGUAAGGCAUGG